CCAGCCGAGACUUUUGAAAUAAUCCUUCAGCCUCUGUCUCGUUCGUUUUUUCCGGAUGUCUUUACUCCGCGGGGACUCCCAAAUGGAUUACUUCACAUUCACGCUUCCGAAAGGAGACAAUAAAUUCUGCUCUGGCUUGAAGCCUUGAAUUCCGUCAUGCCUCCGCCCCACCGUGGCCCACCUCCUUUCUCUGAAUCAUUUCUCCUAUGGUCAAAGGAUAUUGACAACUCCCGGCCUAGACUGUUGAGAUCAUUAACAGCGAAAGAGCUUGAAGCUGGAGAAAAAGGGUUGAAUGAGCCCUAGAGUCCUGAGCGUCUCUUCCAACUUUAAAAUUCUGAACUGCUUGUGUGUAGCCAAAAAGUGUGUGAUGUGUGUGACAGAGUACAUAACUCCAACAUUCAAAGAGAUUGUUGACUGUAGCCAUGCAAGGCCCACCCUGUCAAGUUGCUAAGAGCCACUAUGAAGGCAGACCCCUGUCUGCCCCUGUCUGGGACACCCCCAACCCCCAAACAAAGGAAGAGCAACGCUCAAAAGGAAAAAUAAUUGAGACUUGGGCAUGGUGUUUCAGGAGCACUUUCCCUAGGGAGAUAUAUAUAUAAACAAACAUCUACCUCUCCUUUUAGGGCACCUACAAUUGGAUAAUCCGAACUACUAUUUCCCCAAAGUCCAACCUGGGAAACUAAUGGGUUUUUUGACUUACUUAGAAAGCAUGACUGACCCUCAAAGCAGCGGGACAACCAAAAGGCUGCACCCUACCCAGCAUGGAUGAUGACAUCCCCAUAGCUGCACAGACUGAGUCCACAAUUUAGUUAAAUUCAUAGUCUACAUAUUCUGGCCAGGUCACAAGACCUCAAGCAGGUUGGGGCAGAGUUACAUACAGCUAGCUGGGAGAUGCAGGAGGGAGUAAUUGGGAUCAAGUAAGGGUCCAGUGACUCUCCCCACCCACCUUUUUCAAGGCAGGAACAUCAACAGUCAACAAGUCCAAACUUGAGGGUCUCUGGCAAGCAGUCAUAGCUGCUAUAAUGACCAUGAUAGCUAUGGAGGACAGUGCCACAGGACACAGGAAAAGAAGUCUCCCAGACUGCUCACUGGUACAGCGGCUCCACUGGACAGCGAAAAGGAGACGAAACUCUUUCUGUCUGCGGCAAAAACCAGCCCAAGCCCUGAGUAAUUCCCAAUUAUUCAUUUCUUAAGUCAGCCUCAAGUUCAGUACCAUGUGUCUCACCACAGAAACUUAGAGGAAGGCCAGAUCCUGUGGCCCCUUAGUCACACCUUCCCUCCCAAGAGUUAAAAAAACAAAUUCCACAAAAGCCCUAAAAAUAAUAUGUCAUCAACAAAUAUAUAUACUAUAUAACUUACAUAGUUAUUAUUUAAAUUAUUAAUUAUUAAAUUAUUAAUUAAAUAAAAAAUAUAUUAAAUGAUCUCAU
rnacentral:lncRNA from 1 species